rnacentral:rRNA from 1 species
UACAGAGGUCCCAAGCGUUGUUCGGAUUCACUGGGCGUAAAGGGUGCGCAGGUGGUUAGGUAAGUCCGAUGUGAAAUCUCCAGGCUCAACCUGGAAAUGGCAUUGGAUACUAUUUAGCUUGAGGAGUGGAGGGGGGACUGGAAUUCUCGGUGUAGCAGUGAAAUGCGUAGAUAUCGAGAGGAACACCAGUGGCGAAGGCGAGUCCCUGGACACUUCCUGACACUGAGGCACGAAAGCUAGGGGAGCAAACAGG